GCGGCAAAGAAAAAAAAUGCAGCCCACCUUCUUGCCCCGUGCUCUAUCCCACCCCGAUCCGAUCCACCUUCCCGCGCACGCAACCACCGGCAGCCAUGGCCGCCCCUGCCCCGCCCCCAUAUCCGGCCGCCGCGCCGCCUCAUCCCCCGGAUCCGGCCGCCGGGCUACCUCCGCCCCUGGAUCGGGCCGCCGGGCCGCCUCGUUCCCCUGGAUCCACCCGGGGCCGAUCCCGCCACCGCCAGUGACCACCAAGCACCGGCGCGGCCCUGCCGUGUACCUCUGGUACGCCGCCGCGCCUUCCCUGCCACCUAGGCUGCCCCGGCCUCGCCUAGCUUCUCUUCCGGCGACGGCGGCUUCGUCAGCAGAGGAGCCCGCCAUGGCCAUGGGAGACGGCGACCUCCCCGACCUCCCUGCGAGCCCUCCGGCCAAUCGCUACCUCCCCACCCCAUCCCGCUCGCCUCUCGACCAACCAUCGCAUCCCCAUCCCUUCGGUCGACCUGCAGAUGGGGGAGGUCUUGACCUGCAGCUCGGAGGAGUCCCGACCUGCACCUGGUCACGCACGCCUUUCUUCAGUGUAUUUCCAAAAAUAUUGGAGGCAAUUCUUCUCUCUCAGUUCAACAAAAAAAUUAACAGCAGUUCCACCUAUACACGCGUGGAAUGAAACUUCAUAUGCGCGCCUGCCGCAGAUCAUUAACCAUGUGCCCAGGUUGUCGGUCGUCCUCCCGCCAGUGCCUCACCAUGCCUGGGGUUGCCCCUUCUCUAGCACGCAGCUGCCUGCUGUGUGUGCAUUAUGCUUUAUGCGUGUGAGCAUGGCCGUGUGCUUGCGCGUGGUGUGCUAGUGCGCUAUGCGUUCCUUGUGUGUUGUGUAUGCGUGUGGUGUGCGUGCUUGGUAUCCAUCCAUAGGUAGUCUGUGCGAUUGCUAGUGCUGCUAUUGUUGAUGCUUUUCCUUGGAACGAAAUCAUGUAUUUCUUUCUCUAAUUUUGCCUAUUUGAUCAUUUGAAUCAUGGCUCGCUGCCCCAACGCGCCCGCUGUUGCGCUCCUCCUGCCACCUCCCGACGAUGCCCGUGCCGCCAAGGACUCCCCGACGAGCGUCUCGAUCCCUAUUAGCUGCACCUCCUUCCUCUGAACUUUGAGUUUUGUUCAAACUAAACUUACACUGUUGUUGAUUCAGGCGCAUAUCUAUCUCUCCAUUUCCAGUUUCAUGUAAUUACUGUGAAACGGUAAUGUUCCGACGAGUGGAUUUUUUUUCAGAAUAGACAGUUGUGUUGUGCGCCGGGAGUGUGGUUGGUCGCUGUUGUCUCCACCAGCCGACCGUCGCGCCAUGACCGUAUUCUGGAAACUACGGUAGAGAAUGCA
rnacentral:rRNA from 1 species